rnacentral:lncRNA from 1 species
AAAGAAUAUGAUACAAUGGAUGAUUACAAAUGAGGGAGAGAAUCUCUAUUUAUAGUUGAACUCCUCUAAAACCGACAGUAUAGAUCAAAUUAUAUCGACAGACGAGAUCAAAGCCUACCUACAAUUAAGGGAUUUAACCAAUCUCCAAGAUUACAAAAAUCAAAUCUUAUCAGAUUAUAAAUCUUUUAAGAUUACUUUCCCAAUUUACCAAGGUAGCCCUAUUUCCCAUAAUUGCUUCGCUGGGCGACCAAGGCUUUAAGUUGAUGGGCUUUGUUACUUAUUCUUCGAAUCGGGCUAAUUCAAGUAGGUCAAAUGAGCCCCAUUUAAUAUGUAGACCUCUGUGGGACACUUUUAUUGCAAUAGUGAUGGACUUUGAAUCGCGACCCGUGACAUUCUCUCUUACACAUUCUUCCAGCGCCCUCAUCACGUCUUCGGAAUGGCACUAAUUUGAUUCACCUUGGAAUUUUCUCGACACAUUAGCCCUUCCCCGACUAGCCUUACUAUCAGGUGGUCUUGCCCCUUAGAACCUUUGCCUUGGCUUCUAUCGUUGCCUAACUCGAACCAUUUCACUCAUUGGUACAUCUCGUUCGCAAGAGCCCACCACUCUUACUCACCCACAUUGUGACUUGCCUUAAUCGGGAUACCUUUGAUUUGCAACACUAGGCUUCGACAUUGAUCGCCACCAAACGUGUGAACCUUUGGACUGGAAAUACUGUUGCAAAAAUAUAUAUAAUCAAACAGCGGUGUCCACAAGUAUACAGGUCAAGUUAUAAUAUAAUUUUGUACAACGAGGUAUAGGAAGUACACUGAUGAUCGUGCCUAAAGAAGGAUGGAUUAACUCUAUAAUUAUCUUCUACAAUAAUAGGUCUAAACAGUACUCACCAAAAAUCAUAUUAUGAUAAAUAAUAAUUGUCACAUCCUAAAAUUAGGUCUAGAAGAAAUAGAGAUAAAAUUUAGAUUUCUAAUGCAUAAAAAGAAUAGGGUAAGUGAACUUAAAAUGCCUUAAAAAUUAUUUUUGAUAAGGAAUUAACAAGAAUAGACCAUUAGGCUUGAUGGUUAGGUGCUAGCCAAAGCUAAGGUCCUAGGUUCAAACUCCCUUGAUUACACUUUUUGCUCUUUUUUUUUUAAUUUACCCUUAAACUUGGCCAAAACUCUUUAAAAACAAAAUUUUAAAGGCUUAUAACAAGAAUGAACAUGUUGGUUCAAUGGUUAAGACUUACCAUUCCCUUAGGUCCUAAGUUUGAAACUCGUUGUGCACUUUUUAGCUAAAAUAUUUUACUUCCUUGUUUUUACCCUAUUAAAUACUGAAUUUUCAAACAAACCCAGACCAAAAAAUACUUUUUAAUUUAAUCUUUAAUUUAAAUCAAUCCUAAUUCUAAAUGAAUUCAUAAACCUAUUUCAAUUAGGGAAAGAAAUUUUUAUAAAUAGUCAAUCUUUUCAAAACCUAGAACUCAUAUUUAGAAAAAAUUUCAAGAAAAAAAGGUUUCAGAAUUCUUUAUUCUUCUUCUUCAUUGCCAAAACCUUCAUUGUAAUUAAGGUUCUUAAGAGAUUUCAAGGUUUUCAAUUGCAAUUCUCUCCUCCCAAUGAUUUUUGAUUUCUUCAUCCAAAAUUAAGGGGUUUUUUUGUGUCUUUAAUCAAGUGUGGGAUCUAAUUUAAGUCAUUAUGUAUGAUUAAUUAAGUUGAAGCAUUAGGAAUUAGGGAUUAAUGUAGAAAGUAAGAAACAUGCGAACCCCAUGUUAUAUAGUAUGACUUAAUAUGCGAACUCUCAUGUUAUAUAGUAUGACAUAGUAUGCAAACCCCAAUGUUAUAUAGUAUGACAGUAUACAAACCCUCAAGUUAUAUAGUAUGACAUAGUAUGCGAACCCUCACAUUAUAUAGCAUGACAUAGUAUGUGAACCCCCAUGUUAUAUAGAAUGACAUAGUAUACGAACCUUCAUGUUAUAUAGUAUGACAAAGUAUGUGAACCCCUAUGUUAUAUAGUAUGACAUAGUAUGCGAACAUCCACGUUAUUUAGUAUGACAUAGUAUGCGAACCUGAUUUGCCAUAAUUCAGUGUAGCAGAUUAAACUAGUUUUCACAUUUAAGGAGCUUGAAUACAAGAAUUUUUGUUAUGUUUUAAUUCAGUUUCUUUAGUUUUGUUUACAUUCAAUUAAAUGUGCACAUUGAAUCUUUUAUUAACCUUAAGGUCCGAAUGAGGCCUAAGGGAGAGCUAUCGUAUUUGUGAGUGUACAAAAGACCAUUAGAGGGCAUUUUGAGUCAAUAUUGGAUGCUAUGCCGCAACAUGGGGGAUUUGAUAUCGCAACAUAGAGAGCAAAAUAGAGAAAGUGAGAAACUGCCUUCAAUGUCGCAACACAGGCUGAGGAUGUCGCGACAUACCCCUGAAGAUGGCUACAGAGGAACAUGAUGGUUGCUACGUUGCGACACAAGUCUUAGUGUGUCGUGAUAUUGACUUUGUGGCGAGAAUAAAACACGAAGUAGAGGCGUUUUGGUCUACACAAUCGAGUUUAAGCUCAGGAACGCCAAUUUUACCCUAGGGCUAAGGACGACGGCUACCUGAAGGCUAUAAAUAGACCUCUCUGGCACACAUUAUAGACAUCACUCCAUUAUCUUAGAUUUUCUUUUUAGGUUUAAGAAUUUUUUUUCUUUUUUUAUUUUUUUCUUAAGUUUUCAUAGUUUUAGUUAUUUGCUUUCUUCAAGAGAUCUGAUUGUAAAGGAGAUCAAUUUCUUUAGAUUCGUGCUUAUUAUCAAUAUCAAUUAGGCUUUUCUUAAACUCUCUAUUUCAAUCCAUUCCCUAUGAUUAAUUCUUCCAUUUAUUCCAUGAUGUUUAUGAAAGUUAUGAGAAACUAAUCAUUCUAUGGGGGAAUAGUGAGUGGAAGCAUGAUCUUUUAACUGUUUUGUAGGGUUAUUCAACGGACCAAUUGUUUGGGAAAGGAAUAACGUGAAAAAAACCCUAGGUUUGAUAACCCCAGGUUUGAUAACCCCAGGAAGUUAUCAAGGUGAGAAUUAACCCAAAAUUGGUAUUGCCCAUCCGUGAACGUCUUGACCCCAAACCAGUCUGGACUGUGAGGUUGAAAGAUAAGUAGUUUUUGCUAACUCAUUAUGUUAGUGGAAGAUCGAAAGAUCCUGCUAGGGCAGCGACUAGUUGAUUGAUGAAGAACCUGAAACGACAGUUGAUUGAGAUUUUUGAAGCAAGCUAAUCACCCAUCUUCAGAUUUGAUUCACUUUAUUUCUCUCUAUCUCUUGCAAUUUUAUUUUUUAUGUUAUUUUAUUUCAUUAGUUUAAAAAACCCUAAAAUUAUCUCUUAUUUUGCUUUCGUACUACUGACUUAAAUUAUUAAUUAUAUUUUUAAUUGUUUAGGUUAAGAUUGAUUUAGUACUCACCUCUAUUGGGUACGAUCCUCAGAGUACUUACCUACUUCGUUGAAAAAUCUAUAUUACAACUCAACUCGUAUACUUGCAGAUACCACCUCGUAAUUCUUCAUUCUAUUGCAGUAUUCACACUCUGGAAGUUAGUACAUCCAGAGACGAUCAGAACCCCAUGUUAUAUAAAAUAACAUUUUAUGCGAACCAUCAUGUUAUAUAGUAUGACAUAGUAUGCAAAUCCUCAUAUUAUAUAGUAUGUGAUUUAAUAUGUGUGAACCUUAUAUGUGCAAACCCUAUAUGUGCAAACCUUGUAUGUGCGAACCCUAUAUGUGAACUUGUUAUGUAUGUGUUAGCCGAACAAGCAUGAUAAACAAUGUAAUAUUAAUAUAUCGAUACAAGUUUUUAGUUUACAUGAAGAAAUUGAAUAUGUGAAAUUGAUAUGAAUGAAUGCAUGAAUCCAUACCAAUAAACAAUAGUAUGAAAUAAUAAAUGUGCUUGACAAGCAUAGCAUCGAUUGUUGAUAAAUAGCAUGAUAUGUUCAGUUUAUGUGCAUGAUUACAUGAAAUUAUGUAUGGAGGACGGAGAAGUUCCUAGGAGAAAGUGAUAAUUUAAGUCCACAUCGAAAGUCAGUAUUGCAUGAAGUAAGCGACAAUGUCAUCGAAAUCAAGUAAACCAGGAUGAUAGUUUAAAAUGCCAUCAAAACCAGACAAUCGAGAUGGUAAGUUAUUGUAGUAAAAGUCAUCAUCACAGAUGACAAGUGAACGACCAUCGUCAUCGGGAAAUUCGGGAUGGUUAGUUAUUAAAAUGUGUUUUGGAGUGUUGAGCGAUGCUCAAGGGCGGAUAGGAUGGAUGGGUGAGAACUGAAAAUUAAAAUUUGCAUUUGCAUUACGCCAUGAAAAUAAUCUGUACAUGCAUUGAUUUUUGAAUGUCCCUUACAUUAUGCUUAAUUUGCUAUGAUGCUAUAAAUUGAAUGCUUUACUGUUUGAUCAAUCACAUAUAAUGGUUUAUAAAUUAGACUCACACUGAUUUUUCCUAAGCUCACCCCCACUUUCCUUACCUUUCAGGUAACGCAAAAAACUAGGACUCGGACCCAUUUUCUUUCAUUAUUAUUUUAAAAGUUUCUAUUAAAAAUUUCCUUAAUCAUUUUAUUAGGUUAUUUAAUAGAUUGUAAUUAUUAAUUAUUUCUUACUUUUAUAAUUGUGGUUUAGGAUUUUUUAGCUUAAUACCUUUUAAGCAUGACAUAUAGUUAAUACUCUGAUAAAUUGCAUGUUAUUUGGUUUAGAAAACCAUUAUUCUUAAUAAUGUUUUCCACUGCUUUGCAAAAUACUUAAAGUUUUGAUUGGUCUUUUUAAAAUUUAACCAUUUUUCAAUAAUUCACAUUAAUAAUAUUGUAAUUGGAUUACUAAGUAAAGCCGAUUUUAUUAAUGAAUGUUUGUCUUAAAAACUAAAUAGUGAUUUUCAUGCAAAUCAACUCAAACAAGUGAAUGACUUUAUUGGAUCACUUCGAUGAUCAAUGUAAUGCCCUUGACUUAAGCAAAACUCCUAGGUCAGAUUAGGGUGUUACAAUAAUAAAGAAAAUUAAUAUUAUGAAAUAAAAUAUAAUUACUAGAGUGAAAUUAAUCAACAAAGAAAUCUCGAUUAACAGGCAAAAUAUUAACUCGAUUCAAUGGUUGUAAAUAACUUCAGAAGUCGGGUUUUAGUGAACUAGCUAAUAACUAACCAGUUAAUACCUCUCAGCCUCUAAUUGAUUAAUUAAUCCAUUAAUAUUCACUAUCUCUCGACCUCGUUUUCUAAAUCGGGAUAAAUUACAAUUUAAUCGGCAUACAUAAUUUAAACCAACUAAUUCUAAGGGGAGCCCUCGUUCUUCCAUUAAUUACUCUCACAUCCACUCAUUAACAUUCCUAAAGGAUUUAGCUACUCAUGAAUCUCGAGACCAUUCUCCUAAGAAUUAAUUUAAUUAUGCAAAAACACAAAUUAAACUAAAAUAAAAGGAAAAUCGAUAUUGAUCCGUUUGAUAAACUGGAUGCGCUCGGUUCUGCAAAUUCCUUUAACAACUAUGGAGAUAUUAAUGUUGACAAGCAAAAAGUGAAAGAAAAAAAAUCAAAACACUUAAUAACCAAGUCUUGGACUCAAAUCGAAUCCAAGUUCGAACAAGAAAUAAAAAAAAAUUAUUUUUAAAAAUAAAUUAAAAACUAAGUCUAAAACUAAAACCUAAAUUCUACCCUAGUUGCAAGCUUUAAUUAGGCUAACUAUGUAUUGUGCGGACGAUGACACCUUUGUCAGACCUGUUUCAUGAAAUAGGCUUGUGCAUAUCGUGACACAAACUUCGAGUUUUAAAUCUGAACCUUGUUUGGCUAUGUUGCAACCCUGGAAGCUCGUGUUGUGACUUGGUUGUCAUUCUUGAUGCUUUUGGGCCAAAAAAAGGUGUCAAACACGCUCAAUUUGUAAUCUCCCCAACCAAGCCUAGACGUUAUGGUCGAAUUGUGAAGAUCACAUUAGCCACUUGUAUGGCUAAACUACCCUACCAUUCUUUGAAAACCUUUAGCUCCUCACUCUUUUAAGAAAAACCACGGUAUACCUUUGUUAUUCUAGAAAACAUUUCAUGAAUUAAAUCAACCAUCCUUAUGUUAUGUUAUUAGCGUUUGCGUAGUUUAGAAAACACAUUGCUCGUUGCUUCACUCAACAAAAGCUCAUUAUUUUUAAUUGCAGCAAAAAACUCAAUUUUUACCCCUUUUUAACAUUAAGCCUAGUAUCAUUCAUUGUCCAAUUUCAAAAUGUACUUUAAAACCAAAUUAACAUGUCGAAUAUGAAUGCAUGAAAACCACAAAACAAAGUAAAAUCCAAACCACGGACCAAAUAACUUUAUAGUCACAAAGUAAAUUAUAUUUUAAAUAAAACUCAAAUGAAAUAAAUAAUAAUUAGUCCGAAGUCCGUCGUAUGUCCGUGUGUCGUGUCUGAUCCUACUAUUAAGCAUUUCCUGAGAUGCUUCAAACUAUGGGGUGAGCUAACUAGCUUAUUGUGAGUCUAAACUGUAGGAACAUUCAAUUAUCCAUACAAACACCAAUCAAUAAUUUAAUGCAACGUAUCACAUAGCAUAAAACAUUAUCUUUCGAGUGUCAUGGACAUAAUGCAAUGUAUAAAGAAUCCUACCCAACCAUCCUCUAGACACUAUGAGUUCCCCAGAACUCGUCUACCAAACUCCAAACAUUACGAGCUGGGCUUGAUGUGGUUAAACCACCAUUAUACGUAAUGUAGUUAUACUACCAUUUAAAAUAUGAUAUAAUCACCAUUCUCCUCAUUACUCCCGGUGCAGUGCACUGACAACAUAAAUGCGAACUUAAUAUGCCACAAUUACUCCACGGAACUCCUUCGUCAUCCACAAUAACCCACCCCAUGCAUAUGCAAUAUGUCAUACAAAUUACGACCAAGAACACGUUCCCAUUACAUUCACAUUUCAGUAGCAUGUUUUACAUGCCCUCAUAAUAUUAGUCACUUUCAUUUUGUAGUAAUACUUGUAAAGAAUUCAAUUUCACCGUCAAUACAAUGAAGUUCCAACAGGCCAUACUUUCAUUAUCAUUUUAUAAGCAAUUUUUCCAGUGCAUAAGUAGCAAACUUUCAUUCAGUACAUUUAAUAGCAUUUCACUCAUGCAUACAUUUCAUGCAGUCAAUCUUUAUUUUCAUUUUAAUACAUGCUAUACAUACAUCCAACACACAUUAUAUAUUCAAACCAUUCAUGUUAUUUCAUAGCAAUACAAGUCAUACAAAUAAUCAGUCAACCAUGCAACUUUGCAAGCAUGCCAUUAGUUAAGGAACAAAACGUACCUGAUUCGGCCACCUUAAAAUCACUUACAUAGCCAUUUAACUAAGCCCACCUAGCAAGCUUAAAAAUCAAUUUAAUCACUAAAAAUAUUAUUUAGACUUUCAAGUUUAUAGGUUAGAAUCCACAGCUUAAUUUCGCAUAAUCAUAGCAUUAUUGGCGAAACCCAUGAUUCCUCAUUUAGACUUAAAUUGAACCUAAAUUGAAAUACAAUAUUUAUCGAGUUAAGAUGCUAAUAAAUUAUCCUUAAAACACCCUCUAAGGGUUCAACAAAAUUAGUGUUACAGCAACUAACUUUCAGAUCCAAUUGGACUAGACUACUUACACUGAUUUGAUGCGAAACGUGCGCGCGAACGACAAACGGCUUCACUGUUGGUCCAGGGCAUUUAAAUAAGUGCAUAAAAAAUUAAAAUACCAAUAAUCAGUAGAUAACAAUCCAUUUAAAACCUUAAUUUAAUCAUCUAACUCAUUCCCUAAUUUCCAAGUCAAAUCUACGUAUUAGCCCACAAACAAUUGCACUUACGCUUCCCAUUUCGUCAGAUCUAAGUUGUCAAACGAUUAAGGUUGAAUUUCCUUAAAUCAUAAAUGAUUAAAGGCUGAUUAGGAAGUGGUUUAGUAGAUCUAAAUCUUACUGGAAAAAAGUGGUAAAAGUAUUAAAAAUAAGCAGCCCCCCUUUGGUGGUUCUAGGAGCGGCACACCACCACCAACAAUGGCAAUUUGGUGAUGUUUUGGGAGCUUAAUAAAAACGAGUCUAAAAGCUGAAAAUUUACCAUUUAAAUCAAUAAAAACCAUAAAAAUCCAAAUCUGAAACAAGAGAUAUUUAAUAGGAAAGAAUUUAAUAAUAAAACAGAAGAAAAAGGUCACUUACUCGAAGGAUAGUAAAGAAGCGGCAAUGGUGAUCUUUUUGGAGACUUUGGAGGCUUACUUUCAAAUGAUAAAAAUGGUAGAUUUGAGGAUGGAGAUUUUAAGGAAAAAAACAUAAAAUGUGAGGAGGAAAAUUGUGUAAAAAUCCUCUAUCAAAAAAGGAAAGAUGGGCGAAAGAGAGGAACUUUGGGCGGUAACACAAUGAGGGAGAAGGGGAAAAAUGAAGAGCGAGAGAAGAGAUGAAGAGAAAGGGUGGCUAGGGUUGUAAAAGAAUGACUAAAGACUAAAAAAUAAUUGAAAAAUUGAUAUUUAUUCUUGGAUUAAUAGGCAUGAGUGGCACAAAAAUAGGGAGAAAGGGAAAAAAAAUCAAAAUUAAGCUAUUUUACAAGGGAAGGGAAUCAAACUCAAAACCUUGAUCUAUUUGCACUGCCUCCUCAUUUUUCAUUUAAC